rnacentral:rRNA from 1 species
GACGAACGCCGGCGGCGUGCUUAACACAUGCAAGUCGAACGAUGAACCCGGAGCUUGCUCCGGUGGAUUAGUGGCGAACGGGUGAGUAACACGUGAGUAACCUGCCCUUGACUCUGGGAUAACUGCGGGAAACUGUAGCUAAUACCGGAUACGACCCUCGGCGGCAUCGCCAGGGGGUGGAAAGAAUUUCGGUCAAGGAUGGACUCGCGGCCUAUCAGCUAGUUGGUGAGGUAACGGCUCACCAAGGCGACGACGGGUAGCCGGCCUGAGAGGGUGACCGGCCACGCUGGGACUGAGACACGGCCCAGACUCCGCCGGGGGGCAGCAGUGGGGAAUAUUGCACAAUGGGCGCAAGCAUGAUGCAGCAACGCCGCGUGAGGGAUGACGGCCUUCGGGUUGUAAACCUCUUUUAGUAGGGAAGAAGCGAAAGUGACGGUACCUGCAGAAAAAGCACCGGCUAACUACGUGCCAGCCGCCGCCGUAA